AUGAACGCUGGCGGCGUGCCUAAUACAUGCAAGUAGAACGCUGAAGGAGGAGCUUGCUCUUCUGGAUGAGCUGCGAACGGGUGAGUAACGCGUAGGUAACCUGCCUGGUAGCGGGGGAUAACUAUUGGAAACGAUAGCUAAUACCGCAUGACAACAGUUAUUGCAUGAUAACUGUUUAAAAGGGGCAACUGCUCCACUACCAGAUGGACCUGCGUUGUAUUAGCUAGUUGGUGAGGUAACGGCUCACCAAGGCGACGAUACAUAGCCGACCUGAGAGGGUGAUCGGCCACACUGGGACUGAGACACGGCCCAGACUCCUACGGGAGGCAGCAGUAGGGAAUCUUCGGCAAUGGACGGAAGUCUGACCGAGCAACGCCGCGUGAGUGAAGAAGGUUUUCGGAUCGUAAAGCUCUGUUGUAAGAGAAGAACGAGUGUGAGAGUGGAAAGUUCACACUGUGACGGUAUCUUACCAGAAAGGGACGGCUAACUACGUG
rnacentral:rRNA from 1 species